GGGGAUGCUCGGUUUCGACGGGUAACCGAACUCGCGAUAUAAGCAUGCGGAAGGGCAGCGGCUUCCUUAAAACGCGAAAAGCAAAUAAAUGCUAACAACAACUCCAAGGUAAGCGCUCCCGCCUUCGGCGGUGCUCUUGCUUGCGCGGCAUAACGACCGCGCCGUUCCCGCGGGAGGUCACCGACCCGCGGCGGGCGCAAACAGGUGAAAACUUUCGCGGCAAGCGGGCAUAGCCGCGACCGUACUUAUGUCCUCGCGAUCGGCGGGUCGUCCGUUCCCCUGCCGUGAGUUAAACUCCGAAGCGGAAUAAGCAUGUAGAAGGUCCCGUGCAAAGUUAUUCGGACAGGGGUUCGAUUCCCCUCAUCUCCACCA
rnacentral:tmRNA from 1 species